UGAACCCAUGGCCGUAAGAAUGGGAUGUGGAAGAGGAAUUUUUAUGGACCCAUUCGUGAUCCCAGAGAUGAGGCAAUUGAAGACCUCAAAAGGCAAGUUCUGAACCUGCUUCAACUCUCCAUAUGUUAGUGGCACUCCCUGGAUUGCUUCAUCUCGUGAGUUUAUAAAUCGAACGUGACAUGCUAUUUUUGCACCUUGUUUCAUGCACAUAAGCUGUGUGGGAUCCUCGAUGACAGGAAACUGAAGCUCAAUUAGCAGCAACAUUAGCCUCACAAGGAGAAAAAAUGUCCUUUUUCAUUGGUUAGAUAUGUCCUCGGCACUUAUUCGGUCUUGAAGUUUAAGGUUCAAUCAUUAUCAUCAUCAUCCAAGCCUUAUGGACUACAUGAAUAUGUUCUUCCAUUCUUCUCUAUCAAGAGCCAUACCCUCUGUAAGACCAAAAGUCACCAUAUCUCGUUUUAUUACUUUAUCCAUGUCAUUUUGGGCCUUCUUCUUGCCCUUUUAGAGCCUUUCAUUUGAACUAAAUCUCUCCAUCUCGCGCCUCCAACUCUAGUUGUAUGUAUGAUAUCUUCCUCAAUCUCUCCAUUCUCUUGGAUUAUCCACCGUAGAUAUUGGAUUGCUGAAAUGAUAAUUUUGUUAGCAGUAUUAUGUAGAUUUAUAAGACGAUGUUUGGUAAGAGGUACAUUGAAAUUCAUGGAUUUCAACAAUCCAUACAUUUUGAAAUCAA